UACGGGGGGAGCAAGCGUUGUUCGGAUUCACUGGGUUUAAAGGGUGCGUAGGUGGGCAGGUAAGUCAGUGGUGAAAUCUCCGGGCUUAACCCGGAAACUGCCAUUGAUACUAUCAGUCUUGAAUACCGUGGAGGUAAGCGGAAUAUGUCAUGUAGCGGUGAAAUGCUUAGAUAUGACAUAGAACACCAAUUGCGAAGGCAGCUUACUACCCGAAUAUUGACACUGAGGCACGAAAGCGUGGGGAUCAAACAGG
rnacentral:rRNA from 1 species